rnacentral:rRNA from 1 species
UACGAAGGGGGCUAGCGUUGCUCGGAAUCACUGGGCGUAAAGGGUGCGUAGGCGGGUCUUUAAGUCAGGGGUGAAAUCCUGGAGCUCAACUCCAGAACUGCCUUUGAUACUGAAGAUCUUGAGUCCGGGAGAGGUGAGUGGAACUGCGAGUGUAGAGGUGAAAUUCGUAGAUAUUCGCAAGAACACCAGUGGCGAAGGCGGCUCACUGGCCCGGUACUCGACGCUGAUGUGCGAAAGCGUGGGGAGCAAACAGGG